UUUUUUUUAUAAACAUAGCAGUUUCAGAGAAACUGCUAUGUUUACACUGAGGGUUAAUCCAGCCUCUAGAGCCUCUAGUGGCUGUCUCAUUGAAAGCCGCUAGAGGCGCUUGUGUGCUUCUCACUGGGAAAAUCACAGUAAGAAGACGCCAGCAUCCAUAGGAAAGAAUUGUAAAUGCUUUCCUAUGAACUGGCUGAAUACGCGCGCGGCUCCUGCCACGCAUGCGCAUUCAGCCGAUGACGU